rnacentral:tRNA from 1 species
GAACUCCAUAGCUCAGUUGGUUAGAGCACUGCACCGGAGCCGCAGGGCCACAGGUUCGAUUCCUGCAUUCCU